GUACGGACGUUGUCGGUGUGGUUUAUAAUGGCCCAACAAUCGUGACUCUGCAUUUUAUUCAGCUCAUUGUCGGACUGAAAGUUUACAGCUCAUCAAAAGGCUUGUCCAAAAAGCGGCAGAAACAUGACUAACGUCUUCGUUGAAUAUUGUGCAGGAUGAGGUUAUUCCCGCCGCUUCCAGGAACUAGCCCGUGUCGUCGGGCAGGUUCCUGGUGUGAAGGUGACGGGAAAAACAGGGAGGCAAGGCAGCUUUGAGGUGUCAGUGAAUGAUAAGCUGGUCUACUCCAAGCUUAAGACGGGAUCCUUUCCUAAACCUGAAGAGGUGGUGGAAUUGGUGAAGAAGAACAUGGCCCAAGGAGGAAAAGCUGGGAAGACCACUUAGUUUUAGAAGAUGGAGGCUAAAACAACAGCUGUAUUCACACUGUAAGAACAAUGGUUUGUUUUUUUAUGGCUGCUUAUCUGAAUACAAAAGUGAAUUCAAACAUAAAAAAAUAGAAAUAAAAUUAAAACAUAAUUGUGGACCAAAAUCCUUAGUCUCACCGUCAUCCAUGAGAAGAUCUGACCAUAUAUCUUCACUGUGAAUACAGACAAAGAUGAGAAGAUGAUGAGAGCAAAUCUCAGGAGCCAGGCACUGAUCUACUCUUCUGUUUAUGAAUGUACACACUUAAGAUGAUGUAGUGUGUACACGAUGCAAGUCUAGAAGCUUUUCAGCUGACUGGAGCCUGAGGAACUACUUUCAUCAUGUCCGUCUGGCAUUUAAUCAUAAAUAAAACGUCUUUACAGCAACAUUUAAAAAAUUUAACUCUUUAUCAAGACACAUGUAUCUUUUUCGUAAUUACUUUUUCUCUGUUUAGAUAACUCCAAAAGUGUCAGGUCUGUGAGAUGAUUGGGCACACAUUUUUAAGAAUAGUUUGGCAUUUUUGGAAAUAUGCUUCUUCGCUUUCUUGCCAAGAGUUGGCUAGAAAAGAUCGAUACCACUCUUAUGUUUGCAUGAUGAGUAUGGAGCUAUCGCCAGCUUAGCAUAAAGACUGGAAGCAUAGGGGGAAACAGCUAUCCUGGCUCUGUCUUUGUCUCUGUCCUGUCAACACAAUCCACCAACCAGCACCUUAACUUGUUAUAUCUAGUUUGUUUAAUCUGUACAAAAACCAGAGCGUAAAAACAGCAAUAUGCUGUUUGACGGUGGGGGUUAUGUGCUGGACUAUUUCUUGGCUUGGACCAGUAACUUCCUGGAAUCUCCACAACUGGUCCAGGCCAAGAAAUAGUCCGGCACAUAACCCCUCUGUAAAAUGGUGAAUUGUAAUCUUUACACUUAUGGUUUUUGUACAGAUCAAACAAGACAUACAGUAGCAUGUUAAUUAGUCAGCUUUAGAGGUUCUAGGCAGGUUUGGUUAUCUCUGGACAUAGCCAGGCUAGCUGUUCCCCCAGUUUCCAGUCUUUAUGCUAAGCUAAGCUAACCAGCUGCUGGUUGUAGCUGUAUAUUUACCAUACAGACGUUAGAGUGGUAUGAUGUCAAUCACCUCAACUAACUCUCUGCAAGAAAGAAAAUAAGCGCCUUUCCAAAAAUGUGGAAAAUAAUGCUACUAAUUUCCCCCCUGAUUUGGAAAGAAAUUGAGCUUUUGUUUUGAAAGCACCUUCCAUCAACAUUCAGGUGUUCAUUCAACCAUCAAUGCCUGCAUUUCAAGAUUUAAAUGUAUACUCUGAAAUACUUCAUGAACACAGACUCAUUCUUUUCUAACAGCUCUAUUUAAUAUCCAUACCUGCCAUAUAUGCCUUACCUUUUUAAAUAUAUAAACGGACGAUCACCUGGAUGGUGUUCGUCCGCUGUCUAAUUUGUAAUCAAUUCCAACAAAACCUCUUUUCCUAAAAUGCAAUAAAAUGUUACUGAAAAAACA